rnacentral:sRNA from 1 species
AUAAUAUAUAUAAUUCUGAGUGUAAAUUUUAUAAGAGAUUUAUA